CAGCAAAGAAUAAAUAAAAUUAAAGGGAUACUUCAGGGGUAUCCCAACCCAUAUACAGUACUCAGAAGAAGACUUCUGUAUCAACCACAAUGGAAGCUCUCCUUUAUGGUUGGGGCAGAACCACCUUAAAGAGAGAGCACCAAACCCAAAAAAUAAAUAACCAACAGGUUACCUCAAAGCAAACUCAACUUUACCGAACUCCCAGGACAGAGGCCACCUACAUUCCCCUCGCCACGCGACUUCACACAUAAGGAGAGCCGCUACCUCAACCGG
rnacentral:lncRNA from 1 species